ACAUAUGAAGGAUCAAACAAAAUGGCAUUAGACCUCUCAAGAGAACAGACAGUACCUUCAAAACUCCUAAGAAAAAUCAUUUCCAACCCAGAAUAUUCUAUAUUCAGCCAAACAAUCAGAUAUGAGGGUAGAAUAAAUUUUCAGGUCUCACAUUCUUUUUUUCCCCAGAAAUUCUUUUCUCAAGUAGCUACUAAAGAUGUACUUCACAAAUAUAAGUGAAAAGAGGAAGAAAAAGAAAGACAGGAACCAGAGAAUCCAAUAAAGGAGGGAGAGGUGAAGCAAACUGCUAGGAUAAUGGGGGAAAGAAAGUCCCCAGAGAACAGCUAUCAGCCAACUUAAGAAAAGUAUGCUGAUUGAAGGAAGAGGGCAGAGGGCCCUAGGAGGGAUGUCUCCAAGAAAUGAAACUCAGAGAAUAGCUUAUGUGUUUAAUAUAUGUAUAGGUACAUACACAUAUAUGUAUUAUAUAUAAUGUACAUAAGGGUUUUCGGUGUAUUGAAGUGUUUGGGAGUGAAUUAGUUAAGGAUACAAAGUAAGCAAAUGAAAAAUGAGGCAAAAUAAAACAAAAAAACCAGCAAAAAGGUAACCAAAGCACAGUGUGAUUAACUGCAUAAUCAUAAACCCUACAUGAUCAGGUAAAGUAAUACAGGUACAUACUGAUUUAAAUGAGGUAAAACCUGGAGUUCAAUCAAGUGAAUACUAAUUUAAUCAUUUAAUCCCAAAUGGUGAUUCUGUACAACUAUAUUGAGAGAAUGAAAAGGAAAAUGUGGAUAUGUUGGACUGCAUAUAUGCUGAGCGUGAAGAGUGGAAAGGUAAAAGGUGUGGAAGAGCUAAAUCCACAUCUUUUUACCAACAAAUUGAUAAUAUC